rnacentral:rRNA from 1 species
GGCAGAUUAGUUAGUUGGCGGGGUAAUGGCCCACCAAGACGAUGAUCUGUAUCCGGCCUGAGAGGGCGCACGGACACACAGGAACUGAAACACGGCCCAGACUCCUACGGGAGGCAGCAGUGGGGAAUUUUGCGCAAUGGGGGAAACCCUGACGCAGCAACGCCGCGUGGAGAAUGAAAUCCCUUGGGAUGUAAACUCCUUUCGAUCGGGACGAUUAUGACGGUACCGGAAGAAGAAGCCCCGGCUAACUUCGUGCCAGCAGCCGCGGUAAUACGAGGGGGGCGAGCGUUGUUCGGAAUUAUUGGGCGUAAAGGGUGCGUAGGCGGUUUGAUAAGUCUGAUGUGAAAUCUAUGGGCUCAACCCAUAGCCUGCAUUAGAAACUGUCGGGCUUGAGUAUGGGAGAGGUGAGUGGAAUUUCCGGUGUAGCGGUGAAAUGCGUAGAUAUCGGAAGGAACACCUGUGGCGAAAGCGGCUCACUGGACCAUUACUGACGCUGAUGCACGAAAGCUAGGGGAGCA